GUGUGCAUACGGGUUGGGGUGGAGGGCUGCUCCAGGUGAGAGGGCUGGGCAUUUUUGUAAAAAACUCCUUGUGUUUGCACGGAAUAUCGUAUACGUCCUCGGACCGCCUGACAUCCCGUUGUAUUUCUUGCGUAUAACCCCUCGUCUUCUAGGAAAAUACAAUGCGAAGAAGAGAAAAUUCCGCUUCUAGGGGUAGCGCUGUAAACAUAAAAACCAUAGGGGGUUUUCUACAAAACGUCCUACACUAACCCCCCAAUCCCGAAACCCUUCCCCCAUUCUCUCCCUCUCCUCCCCUCCCACCUCUCCUCUCUCGGCGCGGGUUCCGGCCAGAGCUGCCGCCGGAGGGCGGUGGCGGCGGCAGCGGCGGCUACUGACGGUGGCAGAGGCGGCUCAAGGCGGUGGCUGCGCGGAGGGUGGAGCCAGCGGCGGCUUCCCUCCCUCCUCCCAGAUCCGGUGUAGGCGGAGGUGGAUGGUGGAGGCGGCGCGUGCCGUGUAGGGUGGACGCGGCGGCGGCUCCGCCGGGAGGGGGGAGGGCGGUGGCGGUGGCGGCCCUCCCCUCUGGAUCUGGCGAGGCGGCUACGCCCUCGGCUGUAUCCGCCGCCGCCGCUGUCGGAUCUGGCGACCGGAGAAGACGGCGCGGCGGAGGAAGAUGACCGCGAUAGGCGCUGGCGACGGAGCGGCGGAGGCCGACAGGUGCGGCACCAUCUUCGCCUUCAUCGCCUGCCGCCCUUGCACGGGACGUCACGUGUGCGUCGGCGUCGGUGCGCCCCUCCCCCUUCUCCUUCUCCUCGCGGAUCCAGUGUUCUCUGUCCUCGGGAACGGCCUGGCGGGAGCGGGAGCGCCGGCAGCGCGCGGAUCUGGCCGCCUCCGCCCUCGGGAGCGGCGGCGGCGGGCUUAGGCGGGCGGGAGCGAGCGGCCACGGCUGCGGCAGCUACGACAACGACGACGGCGACGGUGGCUGCGACGACGGCAAUGAUGCUGACGGCAGCUGCGACGAAAAUGACGAUUGUCUCCUCCAACCCCGGCACCGGGCCAGCCGUCGGCGACGAUUUCACCUGUCUCGACCAUUCCGCCGCCCCCAAAAGUAUCCUCCCCCACUUGCGAGAGGACGAGGGACUGGCUCAGCAUCGAGCCCUCCACGAGUGUGCAGCGCAUCAGAUUUAGGCUGCCUUCUUUCAAAGGAGAUUGGGGAGAUUGUCACUCGUUUUCCGCACGCACGCUUCCCAAACUAUUAAACGGUGUAUUUUUUGUAAAAAAUUUCUAUAUGAAAGUUGCUUUAAAAAUUCAUAUUAGUCCAUUUUUGAAAUUUAAAAUAGUUAAUACUCAAUUAAUCAUGCGCUAAUGGCUUACCUCGUUUUGUGUAUCUUCCCAAUCAUCUCGAUCCCCUCACCCUUUGCCUUAGACCAUGUGUGUGUGUGCCCGCGCGCAUUUCUUGGUAGCGUUUGUGAUGCUGUUUCUUGGCUAUGCUGGAUUACAUCCCCACCGUGUUCGACAAUUUCAGUGCUAAUGUUUCAGUGGAUGGGAACAUCAUCAACUUGGGAUUAUGGGGCACUGCUGGACAAGAGGAUUACAGCAGGCUGAGGAUUCUGAGCUACAGAGGAGCGGAUAUAUUUGUGCUAGCAUUCUCACUGAUCAGCAGAGCGAGCCAUGAGAAUGUUCUCAAGGAGAUACUGUACCAAAAACUUUACCUUUCCCUUCUCUGGUGGCGACGUUGGGUCAGGUGGCGGCGUCGGAGCCGGCGCCGGUGUCCCCCCCCCUUCUCCCUCCGCUCGCGGCGGUGUCGGGCGGGUGGCGCGUGGAACUGAUGCCACCGGGGGAAUCCUUAGCUCCCACUUGAUGUUUCUCAUGAGGAUGGAGUAAGACCGCGGGUUAACCAUUUUCUCACUGGACGGGCGUCUGUUCCAGGUCGAGUAUGCCAUUGAGGUCAUCAAGGCGAGU